GGUUAUGUAGCUCAGUGGUAGAGCGCAUGCUUUGAAUAAAUAACACUCUAGGUUCAAUCCCUGGCAUAUCCA
rnacentral:tRNA from 1 species